AUUCCAUGAUGGGGACAUUCUAGGAUGUAGUCUUGGAAGCACUCCCAUGCUUCUGGAACAGAUUCAUCAUUUUGUUGAUGAAAACUUGUAAUCUUCCCACGGAGAGC
rnacentral:snoRNA from 1 species